UACGUAGGUCCCGAGCGUUGUCCGGAUUUAUUGGGCGUAAAGCGAGCGCAGGUGGUUUAUUAAGUCUGGUGUAAAAGGCAGUGGCUCAACCAUUGUAUGCAUUGGAAACUGGUAGACUUGAGUGCAGGAGAGGAGAGUGGAAUUCCAUGUGUAGCGGUGAAAUGCGUAGAUAUAUGGAGGAACACCGGUGGCGAAGGCGGCCUGCUGGACGACAACUGACGGUGAGGCGCGAAAGCGUGGGGAGCAAACAGG
rnacentral:rRNA from 1 species